AAUCAACGCUGCGGCGUGCCUAACACAUGCAAGUCGAACGAGAAAGUCCCGCAAGGGAUGAGUACAGUGGCGUACGGGUGAGUAACACGUGGAUAACCUGCCUUCAAAUGGGGAAUAACCCUGGGAAACCGGGGCUAAGACCGCAUAACACUUGGGAGCUUCGGCUCCAGAGUUGAAAUCCGCAAGGAGUUUGAAGAGGGGUCCGCGGCUGAUUAGCUAGUUGGCGGGGUAAUGGCCCACCAAGGCUUUGAUCAGUAGCCGGCCUGGGAGGGCGGACGGCCACACUGGAACUGCAACACGGUCCAGACUCCUACGGGAGGAAGCAGUGGGGAAUUUUGCGCAACGGGGGAAACCCUGACGCAGCAACGCCGCGUGGACGAUGAAGCUUCUUGGAGUGUAAAGUCCUUUCGGCAGGGAAGAAUCCUCGCAAGAGGUUGACGGUACCUGAAGAAGAAGCCCCGGCUAACUCCGUGCCAGCCGCCGCGGUAACAC
rnacentral:rRNA from 1 species